rnacentral:tRNA from 1 species
CACAGUGUAGCUUAACACAAAAGCAUCUGGCCUACACCCAGAAGAAUUCAUAACAUAUGAACACUUUGA